rnacentral:rRNA from 1 species
GACGAACCGUCCAAACGUUAUUCGGAAUUACUGGGCUUAAAGGGUGCGUAGGCGGCGCGGAAAGUUGGGUGUGAAAUCCCUCGGCUCAACCGAGGAACUGCGCCCAAUACUACCGUGCUUGAGGGAGAUAGAGGUGAGCGGAACUUAGGGUGGAGCGGUGAAAUGCGUUGAUAUCCUAAGGAACACCGGUGGCGAAAGCGGCUCACUGGAUCUCUUCUGACGCUGAAGCACGAAAGCUAGGGUAGCGAACGGG